GGGGCGCGCCGAGAUUCUGCGGAGCCCGGCAAGCUGAAAGGCGCGGACCGACUCGCCACUGUUCAAUGCACCAGCGACCGGGAAGGAGCAAUCCAGGGUGCCGACAGCUACCAGCCAAGAAGAUUGUAAGCAGUCGCUCCGAGUUUUGCAGAUAAAAAAGAACAAGACGAAAAUGGAUUGCUGCGAACGUUCCAUGAAAUACCUUCUGUUCACUGUAAACCUCAUCAUCCUCAUUUUUGCAACUCUCGUAAUUAUUGGAAGCUUGUAUGGUUUAAUUGUCAAGCCAUCAUGGUUAGAAGGACACAAUCAUUCAGCCUACACAUUUAUCGUUUCACUAGUCGUCGGAAUCGUAAUGAUGUCUAUCGCCAUCUUAGGAAUCGUUGCUGCCAUGCGGGAAGUCAAGUGUAUGCUCUUGACAUACAGCAUAAUCGUAACUCUAUUGCUUGUGAUUGGAAUAACUGGCAACAUCCGACAACACAAUUUGAACAAGGAAGUGAUGGAGACAUUCGAGAAACAGAUGGAAAAUACGCUGCAAUUUUACAAUGAUAAAGAACUCAUUCGCAACUUCUGGGACAACACACAAUCCAAGUACCAAUGUUGCGGCGUUAAUAGCUGGGAGGACUGGGAAACACAUGGUCUUAAAGUACCAGACAGCUGUUGUAAAGACCAGGUCAUCUGUUUUGUUCGUAGCAAUUGGAAUGCAACAACGAAUGGCACACCAAAAAUUUUUACGCGAAGGGUUGCAUAGACGAACUACGAAGCCCAAUACAGCAUAUUACAAACGCUUCGCAUGGUAUUAGUACUACACUCUUAUGUCUUAUGGUCUUGGGAAAGAUAUCCGCUUUUGUGCUCUACAGAGCACAAAAGAUCAAACAGCAAUACAGUCCCAAAAUAUUACCCUAAGGUUGUUCCUAAUAAAAAGGUUCGAGAAAACAGUGGGUCUCCAAAAUUUUUAGAGAAUUCGAGCAACUUUAUUAAUCAAUAAAAUUACUUUCGCUCCAUAAACGCAGUUGAUCAUAUCAUUUAUGAUAAUUAAAAAAAAACUGAUUUUUAUCCGGUUGUUUUCACAAGUUUUACUAAUUUAUUACACACAUAGUAUUACGUAUCAUGAUUAUCAUUUUUCUUUACAUUUUAAUGUAAGUUUUUGUUUAAGAAAUUUUAAUUUAAUUGCAUAUUAUAUCAUUCCCAGAUAACAGUCUGCAGAGACAGAUUUUGAACAGAGUAUGCUGUUGAUUUUUGAUUGCAAAAAGGCAACAAAUUACAAGCAAAGUCUGUAAUAUCUGUUGAUGUCAUCAAAACAACCGUAAAAAUAUUACUAAUUGUAACCAUAGAAUAGCAAAUUACCAGCAAAAAUUAAUCAGGAUUUGCAACUCCUAAUCUGUUAAGGUUAACACGGUUUGUUAACAGAUCUUCGGCAAACUGAUCAUACAAAUGGUUCCGAUGCAUCUACAGUCAAAAUUUGCUGAUCGAAUAUAAUGCCAACCCGUUAACAAACUACUAACAUUUUAUUAUCUGGGAUCGAUAUGUUUAUGUAUCAUAGAUUAUAUAUACAAUAAGUUGCCAAUUCCGUUUUUAAUGUGAUUUUAUGCACUUACGUAAGUUUUAUAAAGUGUUCAAUAAUCUAUUGAAACUACGUUUUAAAGUCCGAUAAACAUACGGCUCGCAGUUCGGGGAACUUGUAAAUGUAUUUCUUGGAAAUUGUUAUCGAGUAUUAAGAUCUCCUUUAUCCGUUUUUCUCAAUUUAAA